rnacentral:rRNA from 1 species
GACAGCCAGGAUGUUGGCUUAGAAGCAGCCAUCAUUUAAAGAAAGCGUAAUAGCUCACUGGUCGAGUCGGCCUGCGCGGAAGAUGUAACGGGGCUAAACCAUGCACCGAAGCUGCGGCAGCGACGCUUAUGCGUUGUUGGGUAGGGGAGCGUUCUGUAAGCCUGCGAAGGUGUGCUGUGAGGCAUGCUGGAGGUAUCAGAAGUGCGAAUGCUGACAUAAGUAACGAUAAAGCGGGUGAAAAGCCCGCUCGCCGGAAGACCAAGGGUUCCUGUCCAACGUUAAUCGGGGCAGGGUGAGUCGACCCCUAAGGCGAGGCCGAAAGGCGUAGUCGAUGGGAAACAGGUUAAUAUUCCUGUACUUGGUGUUACUGCGAAGGGGGGACGGAGAAGGCUAUGUUGGCCGGGCGACGGUUGUCCCGGUUUAAGCGUGUAGGCUGGUUUUCCAGGCAAAUCCGGAAAACUAAGGCUGAGGCGUGAUGACGAGGCACUACGGUGCUGAAGCAACAAAUGCCCUGCUUCCAGGAAAAGCCUCUAAGCAUCAGGUAACAUCAAAUCGUACCCCAAACCGACACAGGUGGUCAGGUAGAGA